UAGGGAAUCUUCGGCAAUGGACGGAAGUCUGACCGAGCAACGCCGCGUGAGUGAAGAAGGUUUUCGGAUCGUAAAGCUCUGUUGUUAGAGAAGAACGUUGGUAGGAGUGGAAAAUCUACCAAGUGACGGUAACUAACCAGAAAGGGACGGCUAACUACGUGCCAGCAGCCGCGGUAAUACGUAGGUCCCGAGCGUUGUCCGGAUUUAUUGGGCGUAAAGCGAGCGCAGGCGGUUCUUUAAGUCUGAAGUUAAAGGCAGUGGCUUAACCAUUGUACGCUUUGGAUACUGGAGGACUUGAGUGCAGAAGGGGAGGGUGGAAUUCCAUGUGUAGCGGUGAAAUGCGUAGAUAUAUGGAGGAACACCGGUGGCGAAAGCGGCUCUCUGGUCUGUAACUGACGCUGAGGGUCGAAAGCGUGGGGAGCAAACAGG
rnacentral:rRNA from 1 species